rnacentral:rRNA from 1 species
UACGUAGGGUGCGAGCGUUAAUCGGAAUUACUGGGCGUAAAGCGUGCGCAGGCGGUUCGCCAAGUCCGAUGUGAAAUCUCCAGGCUUAACCUGGAACAGUCGGCGGGGACUGCUGGGCUAGAGGACGGGAGAGGAGCGCGGAAUUCCCGGUGUAGCGGUGAAAUGCGUAGAGAUCGGGAGGAAGGCCGGUGGCGAAGGCGGCGCUCUGGAACGUUUCUGACGCUGAGGCUCGAAAGCGUGGGGAGCAAACAGG